ensembl:lncRNA
GUUAAGAGAGUUUUAAGCCUGUCCUUAUCGCGCACGGCGCGCUGCGUUCACCCAUUUGCUCUCAGACAGCGCUUUUGAACGCUCGAUCCCGAAAUUGCUCCUGCAGGAACACCAGAGGCAGGACUUGCACAGCAGCUGCUGGCAGUUCUGGGCAGAGGGUGCUGAUGGGGUCUCGACUACUUCCAGCCGUAAAGGAAAGUUCACAACUCAGCCCAUCUCGACUUGCAAAGAGACAGAUUCGCAGAGAUGAUGCAGCCUGGGAACGCUGAUAAGAACAGCAGACAAAGAUGUCAUUGAGUUAAAAAAAGAGUUGGGGUGGUUCCUUGCUAGGACCUGAACACCAAAUGACUAUUGCCUAGGAUCCAAAGGGGAGACUUAAGCUUGCUGCAGAAUUCCUGGUCAGACUUGGAUGGUCCAGAACUGGCAGCCAAAUGCCUCUUGAGCACAAAGCCGAUCAGGACGUGUAAGCUUCCCUCCCUUCUCUCAAGUGCCAAAAUCAGAGUGGAUGGAGACUGCUGACUGCCUCGGGUCCAGGCUUUCCUGCUGGAGAAGUUGCCUCUAGCUUUUAUUCAAGAGAAUUCAUUUUGUCCAAACGAGUGAACCUUCACAUCGCUCCCAUCUCUGUCUUGUACAGGCUUUAUGGUGUGGUUCAAUAGCUCACGGUUAGGAAAGAAGAAGGUGUCUUCCCAUUCUACAGGAUUCUUCUACAAGCUCUUCAAAUGUCACUCGGCAAAGAUCAGGAAUCCUUCACUGACGUCCCCACAGUCUGGGCUGCUCUCACUCACCCACAUUCUGCCCCUUUCUGUUGUCCCGUGGAUGGCUAAGAAGCGGGGGCUGAGUGCCCUCUAAUCCAGUGGUUAAGGGCCUCACUGUGGAACGAUAAAUCAGAUUGUACGUUCUUGCAGUAGGUCGUGAAGCUUUUUAACCAGGAGAUCUUUUCAGAGGCGGAGAGAUCUCUAAAGAUUUUUACGUUUAAAUUCAAUUUCAGUUUUAAACUGCCCCCAAGUUUGUCUUCACGUUUCACUUCUUCAGGCUGUCCAGCAGGCAUAGAUGAUGAUUAUUAUUUUUUUUUCCCUGGAAUAAAAACAUUUUAAUGACCAGUUUUGUUCAGGGAUGAUUCAUACUCUUAAACCACCCAAGGUUGUUCUCUUAGUCACGGGUGUUAGACAGGUCCCAAAAAAUCCAUGCCAUUUUGAAGACAAGGUCUUCGAUUUCACUGGAUAAGAUUGUGGUUUGGAUACCUCUGGCAGGCACUUCAGGAUACCUAAGUGUGCACAAGGAGACUAAAAAGACGAGUUAAGUGUUUAGGCUGUUCCCUUCUGAAGAAAAGCAAAGUGUAAGUCUUUGCCUUUUCACUCUAAUGACUUUUUAGGUUGACUACAAACAAAACAGGAGACCCUUAAUGGAAGGAAUUUAUGUCCCCUUUACUGAACAUAAAUUCAUAGCCUUUUCUUCUAUAUGGACAGUAUCUUGCUUAUCUGUAAGACUGUCUGGGUUCUGUUCAAUUAUGAAGAACCAAAAUACCGAAGUCACUCAGGGAAGGUCAAAGUUAAUGGUCAUGAGCCACUUCAGGUGGCCAAGUGACAGAGGAUGUCUGUGCCUACAUCGUAUACCGACAUUAGUACCCGCACCUACAUUUUAGUUCAGAUCAGCAGUGCAACAGCUUUGCAAGAACAUCUCUUCACCCACUGCACUUUGGCUUCCACUGAGCAGUUUCAGAUGAGACCAAAUUGGAAGAUGCCCUUCUGCUGCCAAUGGGAGUGCUGUGCGAGAAGAGUUCAGCCUACAUCAGCUGGAUCCAGAGACUGUAAAAUCUGUGUUAUUUGGGACUCUUGAUUCAGACAGCUGACAGUUACACUUUUUGUAUCCACUUCUUUCAGGUGCUUCAGGAAUGAGCUUUCCUACCUCUGGACAGUGACAGAACACUUCUGCUCCUACACAAUGAGUGUUCUGCUGGGAAAGGAGUCCCUCCACUUUGCGGUUGCUCUGUGAGUUAUCUUUUGGUGUAAGAAGGAAAAAAAAAUGGGGAUUGAAGAGUUCUUGGUUGCCUGGCCUGCAUCCUUACCCCAGCCUUCAGAAUUCUGCUAGACUUUGUAUUGUCCUCACAACAUACUUCUAACGGUCUUCAGCAGGAUAUGUAAUAACUCCCAUUGACAUGGACAUUGAACUAAAGCUAACAGUUUUAGGGUUCUCAGGUUUCAUGGGAAUGACUUGAGAGUACUAACAAUAAGCUUGGAUCUACCAAUGCAGAAAGAUAGAACCUGUCUCUUCCUGCUCUUCACCAGCACUAAAAACUGUGGUCAGAUUAGUCAGAUGAUCCAGAUGAAAGCUAACAGACCAAAAAAGAAGACUUCAGUUUUUACCAGCCACACAAACAUCCAUUCGUUUGUGAAUGCGGGUGUAUGAGAAGCAGGGAUAGGAUGAAGUCAAAGAGAAAGACAGGACCUUCCAUUUCAGCAGUGUCUCUGUCUGGAAUCAGCUAAGAUACCCAUGAAAUCUCAUCCCGUGUGACAGACAGAAAUUCAAACAAGGAAUCACAGAAUUGUAGGAGUUGGAAACAAAGACGACCUGUUUACCUAUUGGAGAGUAAAGCUGGGAUGGAUUUUGAAUUAUCAUGAAGUUAAAUUCUCCAUUGAGAGAGAAACAACGCUAGCAGCAGCUCACAAAGGCCAGAAGUCCUGCUGAUCAUGUGUUUAAAUGCCCUGGUGGCAUCUGUGAAUUAAGCAUUUCCUUUUUUUGCUUUGCGGCCAACGCAUAGUACAUUGAAAUCAGAUAGAUUUGGCAUAGAUCCAUCAUCACUGGCUGUUUCUCUGUAUACUAUGUUUACUUAAGACAAUGAAGUAUUGGAGAAAGAUGUUUGAGGCUGGUUGAGGAGUAUUAAGUAAUAUGCCUGCUCACUACAGAGAAGGCUGUAAUAAGCGUCCUCAGUCAAUAGCUUCUGGCCUGGAGCAUGAACAGUGCUUGAAUGGAGCCUAAAACUGCCAUUUUACCUCCAGAAAUGAAGAGAAAAAAAAAAAAUGAUACUUCCAUGUUCACCCUAGCCUUUCUGUCACCCAGUAGACUGGAGGGAAAGUUCCUCCUGCAGUAGCAUAGUUAGCCAGCAGGGGCAGCGGUGGCACAGGUAAAGGCUCCCAAAGAGACCUUUCGCUCUCUCCUUGCGCUGGUGGCUGUGCUAGUUGAGAAGUCCCUGUCAACUGGUCACUCUGGAGAUUUCAUAUGUUCAGAACCAGAUGGGAGCUAGGGGGUAUGCUCUCCUGAUGUCGUUCCUCACCUUCCUCACAGACAGAUCUCCAAAGCUUGAACUUCCAAGUCACAUCCCACCUCACGGUGCUUCCCACACUUUUCUUUCUGUGAUCUCAGGCUCUUCACAGUCAUAGAAUCACAGAAUGGCCUGGGUUGGAAGAGAGCUCAAGGAUCAUCACGUUCCAACCUACCUGUCAUAGGCAGGAUUGCCCACCACUAAAUCAAGUACUAGGUCAGGUUCCUCAGGGCUCCAUCCAACUUUGCUUCGAACACCUCCAGAGAUGGGGCAUCCACAGCCUCUCUGGGCAGCCUGUGCCAGCACCUCACCGCUCUCUCAGUAAAAAGCUUCCCCCUGACAUCUAAUGUAAUCUUCCCUCCUUUAGUUUAAAACCAGUCCCCCUUGUCCUGUAACUAUCUAUCAGUGCAAAAAAGUAGAGUUGCCUCCUGCUGCUAAUCUCUCUUUAAACAUUGGAACGCCGUAUUCCACAGCCUUGUCUUCUCAAGACUGAACAAGCCCAGCUCCUUCAGUCUGUCUUCAUAGGAGAGGUGCUCCAGCCCUCUGAUCAUCUUUGUGGCCCUCCUCUGGACCCUCUCCAAAAGCUCCACACCUUUCCUGUGUUGGGGGCCCCAGAUCUGCACACAGUACUUCAGAUAGGAUGUCACAAGGGCAGAGUAGAUAGGGACAGUCACCUCCCUCACUCUGCUGGCCACUCCUCUUCUGAUGGAGAGCCCAGGAUACCAUUGGCCUUCAGGACUGCAAUCGCACACUGCUGGCUCAUGCUAAGUUUUUCAUCUACCAGGACCACUGAGUCCUUCUCAGCAGAUCUGCUCUCAAGGAGUUCUUCCAGUCUGUAUACAUGGGAUUAUCCUGACUCAAGUACAAAACCUUGCACAUUGCUUUGUUGAACCUCACUGGUUCACAUGGGCCCACCUUUUGAGUUUAUCAAGGUCCCUCUGGAUGGCAUCCUUUUCUUCUGCCAUGUCAACUGAACCACACAACUUCGUUUCAUCAGAAAACGUGCUGAGAGUACACUCGAUCCCAUCACCUGUGUCACUGAUAAAGAUGUUAAAGAGUACUAGUCCCAAGACAGACCCAUGGGGGACACCACUUAUCACCAACCUCCAUCUGUACAUACAGCUAUUGACCACAACCGUCUGGCUAUGACAUUCCAUCCAAAUUCUUUUCUGCUGAAUAGUCCACCCUUCAAACCCAUCUCUCUCAAUUUAAAGAUAAGGAUGUGGCUGGGGACCAUGUCAAAGGCUUUGGAGAAAUCCAAGUAGAUGACAUCAGUUGCCUUCCCUUUAUCCACCAAUGCCAUCCCUCCUAGAAGGCCACCAGAUUGGUCAGGCAUGAUCUUCCCUUGGUGAAACCCUGCUGGCUGUCUCACGUGCUCAUCUCUUAGGUGUCUUAACAUGUCUUCCACGACGAUCUGUUUCAUGAUCUUUCCAGGCACAAAGGUGAGGCUCACCGGCCUGAUGCUCAUGCAUUUCUGAGCUUCCGGCUCCUCUUAACUCCAUGAGACCCUUUUCCAGGAUUAAAUAAACCCAACAGAGAGGAACAUGCUUAUCCAUAGCACUGACAUCUGUAAGAGGAAAUUGCUGUAGUUUCACAUAUCUUAAUAACUGAAUAUUUCAUUAAGAGCCUGCAUGUCUGGACACUCGAUCAGAUCCUCAGUGAUCCAAAUCUGUCAAGCUUCUAUGGAGAAACCCCUGGCAAUCACAUUUUUUUAUCUUAAUCGACCCUUUGUCUCAUUGUCUCUAACACCAAUGAAACCACAAAUGGUGCUCCAAGAUCAUUUGCCUUGAUAAAAAUGGUAGCAAAUUUAAGAAACACAGAUAUGUAAGUCUUAUUACAA